rnacentral:lncRNA from 1 species
AUGGCCACUAAACUAACUAGCUGCCUUUCAAACCUGGGUUUGACCUUUAUUCUUCAGCUUAAAAUCAAAGAAUUUGCCCUAUUUCAGGAACAAUUGUUGAUUCAGGUAGGCUUAAGAAUGACCUGAAGUCUCACUCAAGGCAUUUUGAGAGGUCUGACAAUUUCAAUGUAUUUUGGUUUAGACUGUGCCAUUUUUGGCAUUUUUAGACUGCUACAAUACUUAGAUACAUGAGAAUAGAAUUAGGAUAGCCCUAAUUCAGGAUGAGCUGCUGACCUCACAAUGCAGAGGGCAGACUGAAGCACUGUCAAACCUUCUCCCACCUCCAGGAUGAGAAUUCACAGCACUCUGGCAAGCCCUGGGUUCUGUGUGGACCUGGUGGGAACUGUGCCACGUGGGUUCACUGCUCUCUGUCUCAGCUGCAUGUUUUGUGUCACAAAAUAAGAUGACACACACAGCAUUUUACUCUUCUCCAAACAGCUGAGAAGGACUUUUGGUCACUCUGCAGAGCACAUACCAAGUAUACCCCUGGAGCAAAUGCUGACAUAUCAAACCCUGUUUCUUCAGCUGGAUGGGGAUAGCCAAAACAAAAUUAUGCAUCCUGAUUGAGCAAAGUUCUCAUAACAUCGCACGAGCAUUUUUAUUGCAUCUGGGGCCUAUUCCCUGGAAAGGGCUGGAUCGCCUGGAGUUCGGCACUGGUGACUCACAAGUGAGAAGGUGGAGAGGGUGGUACUUCAUGUGGUAAGCACAAGAACCACUUUUCUUGGCUAGCUGAAAGAGAACACAGGAACAAGGACAAGUCUGAUAGCAGUGUCCCUAACUCUGGUGUGUUCAGACUGCACGGAGGUACUCAGUGUUUUAAAAUGCAUUUUUGUCAAAUGCUCACAGCCUGUUUGACCAUCCAAUUACUUCAGCAAUGAAUAAGGUGAUUUUGGAUGGAGGUAUGUUUAUUUUAAUAUAAAGGUUUUAGUACUGGCACAGCAUGUUCCAGCUCAUAUAAGACCUCUAGAUGCAUUCCCUAUCACAAAGAAAUUGGUUGCUGCCAAAGUGGGGUCUUCACCUUUUUAGUGUGCAGUUUUUCACUACAAGAAAGACAUCUUUGUGGAGACAGAAAAGAAAGAGCAAGAGUUAAUAUGGCCUGGUAGCACACUCGAGAGUAGACCCAAGUCAUGGAUUGCAGUUCUUGCUUUAAGAACUGUUUACACUUCCACUGAUGAGAGUUUAAUGGAAAGUACUUUGACCUAGCCUAAG